rnacentral:rRNA from 1 species
UACAGAGGUCUCAAGCGUUGUUCGGAUUCAUUGGGCGUAAAGGGUGCGUAGGCGGCGCCGUAAGUCUGGUGUGAAAUCCUGGGGCUUAACCCCAGAACUGCACUGGAUACUGCGGUGCUCGAGGACUGGAGAGGAGAUUGGAAUUCACGGUGUAGCAGUGAAAUGCGUAGAUAUCGUGAGGAAGACCAGUGGCGAAGGCGGAUCUCUGGACAGUUCCUGACGCUGAGGCACGAAGGCCAGGGGAGCAAACGGG